UACGGAGGGUGCAAGCGUUAUCCGGAUUCACUGGGUUUAAAGGGUGCGUAGGCGGACAGGUAAGUCAGUGGUGAAAUCUCUGGGCUUAACCCAGAAACUGCCGUUGAUACUAUUUGUCUUGAAUAUCCUGGAGGUAGGCGGAAUAUGUCAUGUAGCGGUGAAAUGCUUAGAUAUGACAUAGAACACCGAUAGCGAAGGCAGCUUACUACAGGAUGAUUGACGCUGAGGCACGGAAGCGUGGGGAGCAAACAGG
rnacentral:rRNA from 1 species